UUCACACUGCAGAGUUAACGUUGAAC
rnacentral:piRNA from 1 species